AUUGAACGCUGGCGGCAGGCUUAACACAUGCAAGUCGAGCGGGGUGAUGGUGCUUGCACUAUCACUUAGCGGCGGACGGGUGAGUAAUGCUUAGGAAUCUGCCUAUUAGUGGGGGACAACAUCUCGAAAGGGAUGCUAAUACCGCAUACGUCCUACGGGAGAAAGCAGGGGAUCACUUGUGACCUUGCGCUAAUAGGUGAGCCUAAGUCGGAUUAGCUAGUUGGUGGGGUAAAGGCCUACCAAGGCGACGAUCUGUAGCGGGUCUGAGAGGAUGAGCCGCCACACUGGGACUGAGACACGGCCCAGACUCCUACGGGAGGCAGCAGUGGGGAAUAUUGGACAAUGGGGGGAACCCUGAUCCAGCCAUGCCGCGUGUGUGAAGAAGGCCUUAUGGUUGUAAAGCACUUUAAGCGAGGAGGAGGCUCUUUUGGUUAAUACCCAAGAUGAGUGGACGUUACUCGCAGAAUAAGCACCGGCUAACUCUGUGCCAGCAGCCGCCGUAA
rnacentral:rRNA from 1 species